GCAGAGCUCUCUGACGGUGGUGAGGUAUCCAGGAUCAGGAACCACCACCCCAGCCUCUCCCUGGAUUGGCUCCACCAUGAAGGCUGCUACAUUAGGGUCCCGGAGAGCUUUCUGGAACAACCAUCAGCACACACUCAGUGAUAACAGGUAACUAGACUAGUCAAUCAAUCCGUGUUUCCUUGAUAAUCCCAUCAAUGGAAAUACAGGGCUGGAGACACUCCAUUUGCCUCUGUAUACUGACACAGUAUGGAAGCAAGGCCAAUUUCCCAGACCAAAAAAGCCUUCUCAAUGGAGAUUCUUCAUGGAAGGAUAUUUUAGAACAGGACUAGGCCUUAUCUGGCUCCAGGAAACUGGCCUGUAUAGUAGUAACAUUAAUAUUAAGGUUCAGUAUUAUAGAGGAACAGGAAACUGGCCUGUAUAGUAGUAACAUUAAUAUUAAGGUUCAGUAUUAUAUAGGAACAGGAAACUGGCCUGUAUAGUAGUAACAUUAACAUUAAGGUUCAGUAUUAUAGAGGAACAGGAAACUGGCCUGUAUAGUAGUAACAUUAAUAUUAAGGUUCAGUAUUAUAGAGGACCAUGAAACUGGCCUGUAUAGUAGUAACAUUAAUAUUAAGGUUCAGUAUUAUAGAGGAACAGGAAACUGGCCUGUAUAGUAGUAACAUUAAGGUUCAGUAUUAUAGAGGAACAGGAAACUGGCCUGUAUAGUAGUAACAUUAACAUUAAGGUUCAGUAUUAUAGAGGAACAGGAAACUGGCCUGUAUAGUAGUAACAUUAACAUUAAGGUUCAGUAUUAUAGAGGAACAGGAAACUGGCCUGUAUAGUAGUAACAUUAAUAUUAAGGUUCAGUAUUAUAGAGGACCAUGAAACUGGCCUGUAUAGUAGUAACAUUAAUAUUAAGGUUCAGUAUUAUAUAGGACCAGGAAACUGGCCUGUAUAGUAGUAACAUUAACAUUAAGGUUCAGUAUUAUAGAGGAACAGGAAACUGGCCUGUAUAGUAGUAACAUUAACAUUAAGGUUCAGUAUUAUAGAGGCACAGGAAACUGGCCUGUAGAGUGGUAACAUUAAUAUUAAGGUUCAGUAUUAUAGAGGAACAGGAAACUGGCCUGUAUAGUAGUAACAUUAAUAUUAAGGUUCAGUAUUAUAGAGGAACAGGAAACUGGCCUGUAUAGUAGUAACAUUAAGGUUCAGUAUUAUAGAGGAACAGGAAACUGGCCUGUAUAGUAGUAACAUUAAUAUUAAGGUUCAGUAUUAUAGAGGAACAGGAAACUGGCCUGUAUAGUAGUAACAUUAAUAUUAAGGUUCAGUAUUAUAGAGGAACAGGAAACUGGCCUGUAUAGUAGUAACAUUAAGGUUCAGUAUUAUAGAGGAACAGGAAACUGGCCUGUAUAGUAGUAACAUUAAGGUUCAGUAUUAUAGAGGAACAGGAAACUGGCCUGUAUAGUAGUAACAUUAAGGUUCAGUAUUAUAGAGGAACAGGAAACUGGCCUGUAUAGUAGUAACAUUAACAUUAAGGUUCAGUAU